rnacentral:lncRNA from 1 species
ACGUUUAUGCCCAAAUUUGUAAGUUCUGCUGGGAUUGCAGUUGAAGUUAUUGUCACCCCCAAAGCCAUACUUGGUGCGGUACCCUGGGUAGUCCCUAAAAUUAAAGGGCACUUCUUCUAUAAGUCGAAGCCCAACUCUUGAGGCUAGAAAUUCCAAAUUCCACUCACGAAAGAAGCCAUUGCUUUUGUGAGUAAUGUGGAUUUCUCCAUCUAUGUGAAUCAUCUUCUUAGCAUUUUCUAAAAACAGCUGUACCAGCAUUUGAUUUCUCCUGCAAGAAGAAACAAUGAUAUAGAAGGAAAAUUUUCAUGUGAGAAUUGGGAAUACAGGCUAUACAUAAAUUCGAUUGAAGAAGCUUUUCAAAGAAAGAAUCUACCAACCGGAUCUCAUCUUCCCUUGAUUCAUUGGGAAAAAAUCCAGCCAGCGGGAAGUUGUAGACAACUCGAUCAAAACGCAUGCAGUUGAAUGGUAAAACGUGUGCCAUUUUGGUGGCAUCAACAUCAUGCAUGACCUUAGCUCCCAAGCUCCAUAGUGUAUCGAUGUUGGACAAGGCAUGCCUAUAGUUUGUGCUCAAAAACUCUGAAAAUUGCAGUUGAUAGUCAUCAAUUAAGGCCAUAAGACAAACCCCAAAUGGGUGCUGGGGCACAUGCUAAUCAAGGUUUACUCGGGACUAGAAUGAGAAAAAUACCCAAAUCAACCAAAAUCAUGACAUUCAUGAGAAACACUCAAAGAAGGUUACCAACUUAUGAUUCAGGAUUUCUUAUUUGUUACCUAUAGAAUCAAGAGAAGUAGCGGUUAUGUUUGUAGCAGAAGCAAAAGCCACAGCCAAAGACGCAGAGAAUGAAAAGUCCCCUUCACCCACCAGCAAUAUUUUGUAUUCACUGCUGUAGUGCUUUAUCCAUCUUACUCCAUGCUUUCCUUCCUCUAGGUCUUCUUCACAGCUGCUGUAGUCCCACCAAUUUUUUCCUACCGCUCCUCUGGUUCGUUCUUCGUUUUCUUCAAUUAUGUCGUAAUGGUGGAGCCGUGCAGAAACUUGCUUCUCAUCACCUACAACUUGGACUUUAAAUUUUGCAGGAAUUAACAGAUCCAAUGCAUCAUCAGACCUGGAAUUGCUGCGUGAGUCCAAGCUCAGUGGAAAACCCAGAGAGUUUCGCUGCGAUGCACCACUGAUGCCUGAGUUGCUGCUUGGGACAGAGCUCAGUGGAAGAGUCACUGGAUUUGGCUGGAAAUGGGAUGCACCACUCACGCUAGAGUGGCUGCAGGAGCUAGAGAGUAGUGAAGGAUGAGUCUGUAUCUUUGGCAGAGCAUGAGAAGUACCACUUGGCCUGGAUAGGCCACACGAGUUGGAGCUGAGUGGCUGAGGAGUCUGCACUGGUUUUGGGUAAAAAUGGGUUGUGCUGGAUUGGCUGCAUGAGCUAGAACUUAGCUGUUGGUGAGUCUCUAGUUUUGGUUGGACAGGGGAUGAUACAGUCGUGCUGGAGAGGCCACAUGAGCUCAAGUUGAGUGGCUGAUGAGUCUGCACUAGUUUUGGGUAAAAAUGGGUUGUGCUGGAUUGGCUGCAUGAGUUAGAACUCAGUUGUUGGUGAGUCUCUAGUUUUGGCUGGACAGGGGAUGAUACAGUCGCGAUAGAGAAGCCACAUGAGCUCGAGUUUAGUUGAUGAUAAGUCUGUAGUGUUGGCUGAAGACGUGAUGCACUACUUGUUUUGGAGUGGGUGAAUGGGCUAGAGCUAGAGUUAGAGCUAGAGCUCACUGGAGGCGGAGGAUGAGUCCGUAGAUUUGUCUGCAAUGCGUAGUCCCUACAUGAUUCUAAGCUCGGUGGAGAAGUAAAUGGAUUCGGUGGCAACGCAGGCCUUGAGCUUGAAGAAUUGGUGUCUGAGGCAAAUCUCGGCAGAGAAAUCAGGGGUAGUUUUUCACUUGGCUUCUUUUUAUCAUCUUUUUCACCCCACAACCAGCGAAUAAUAACGGAGAGAAUUUGACCCAUUGAAUCACCCGUCCCCCCCUUCUUUUUCUUCUUCCUUCAUCAAGGAGCCUGUAAACAUAGAAAUGUCCCUUGUCAUGAAAACCUUGCGGGCGUGCACUGCAAUGUCAAUGGGCUUGACACAGGUCCCACCAACAUUGCAUUAAAUUUUCCUUCUCGGACAAGUAAGAUAAGGAAUGCCUCUGCCACAUGCUGUUGAGAAAAAUAAGAAGAUAUUACCCACAAAGCCUAUCAUGUUAACAUUCAAGUCAUCCCACAUCAGAAUAAGAGAGAGGCUUUUCGGUCUCACCCGUUCCCUCGUAAAAAGGGCUUUACCACAUAUUUUUCUUUUUAUUAUUAUAUUUUAAAAUUAUCGCUGCAGUAUCCUUUCAUAACAUAUUAAAUCAGGUAUCAUUUCAUAUCAAAUCAUUGUAGCCUGCUUGACUACUCCAAUUCCCAAGCCUUUCUCCUCCUUUUUGAAUGUUGAUUCCAUAAAUGUCUAGUUUCCAGUGAUGUAGGGUUGUGUGAGUCUUUCUCUGCCAUAUCAGACCGAGACAUUAAUAUGACUCAAAUGCAAUAUUCAUGUUAGAAUACAAAGGGAUUCAAAUUGCCAACAAAUAACCAAAAAUCAUCUUCACAGCCAAAUCUACAACUACUAAACAUCUUUUCCCUGUAAAACUAGUAAAAUUUUCAUCCAGACAUGUUGAUUAACUAUAAAAGAACAUGCUUCUGCAUUCAUCCCCAUCUAAGUUCAGCAUUUUAGCAGAAACCCAAUAUGAAAAAACAGAAUGACAGAAAGGGUAAAAGGGCGCCAAUAUCAAUACCAUGCAUGCAGAUGAGCUUGUGGGUGAUGAGAGCUUUGUUGAGACCAGAGAUCAAAGCUCCCAAAUCAGAGUUUUCCCACCAAAGAUCGGACGAGAUCAAACACUAGUGAUGCUUGGCUUGCAGGAGAUCCAUCAGUGUUGGGUGUGAGAAAUGAGAGUUGUGCUGAGAGUGAAGGGGGAGCAAUAUCAGAAGGUAAAGAAGCUUCCGAUGAUUCGUACGUCCAAAGACUUGGUUGGACCUGGCCAUUUUUAUGCUACGUGGAGGCACUCUAUUCGGAUUAAUAAAGUGAUAAAAGAAAAAAAUUAGGAAAGAUUCGAAAGAAGUCCAUUUCAUCAAGGAAUUUGAUACCCAAAGUGAUGGAAGUAAUUAAAAUAGAUUGAUGAUGAUGAUGAUGGCUCCACCAAACAGCAUUCCAUACCCAACCCACCAAUCAUAAAAUUCAGUGACAUGGGAGUGGAUAAAGCAAAAUAAGAUAUACUAAAAUUAUUUUAAAAUACUUUGUAUUUCCAGAUAAUUUUUUAUUUGGGGAUCGGCAAAGGAAACAAAGUUGAAGAAUUGUUUUAAAACAAUUUAUUCAUUUUAAUUUUUUUUAAAUUUUCUUUCACUUGGUAAAUAUUUCAUAAUUUUAAAAAUUAUUAUAUUAUUUAAUUCAUAUUAUUUUAAUACUUAUCAUUAUAAAAAUAAAUAUGCACUUAAAUAUUUAUAAAAAUAAACAUUAUAUAAUUUUUGUAAAAAUUUUCGUAAAGCCAACAGUUGGUCUAGUGGUAGCAAUCUCUUUUUUUUAUUGCUGCCUUUUAGGUUUGAUUUCUCAUACUCCUCUUUUCUACAUAUACCCAUCCCACAUUGAAAACUUAUACAAGCAUUUCCUCCCAUAAAUUACAUAUGAGCUUGGCAUAGAAAUUAGUUACUUAUAAUGUGGGCCAUCAAAAUAAAUAUAUUUGGGUUGUACAUCUUUUAGGGCUAGGUUGAGAUCGUACAACAUAUUUUUAAUUUAACUCAACUUGGAGGCAUUGGCAUCUUCCUCCAGGUUCACACUAUUUAUGAAACUCUAUGUAUUUUUAAUAAAGUUAAGAUCGUACAACAUAUUCUUAAUUUAACUCGACUUUGAGACAUUGGCAUCUUCCUUGGGGUUUACAUUGAAUCAAUAAAGAGGUGUUCACAUUAUCAUAUGAAGAACUCUAUGUGUUUUCAAUGAAGUUGAGAUCGUACAACAUAUUCUUAAUUUAACUCGACUUGGAGGCAUUGGCAUCUUCCUUGGGGUUCACAUUGAAUCAAUAAAGAAGGGUUCACAUUAUCAUAUGAAGAACUCUAUGUAUUUUUAAUAAAGUUGAGAUCGUACAACAUAUUCUUAAUUUAACUCGACUUGGAGGCAUUGGUUUCUUCCUCCCAAAUUCAUUGUAUGUGUAAAUGACAUCUUCCUCUUAAAUUCAUUGUAUGUAUGUAUAAAUGAAAGAAAGUUGAUUCGAAGAUCCAAACAAUCUUCUACUUUUAAAAUUUUAUGAACCCAAUCUAUGAUUUUCCAUUUAAAGAAAUCGACAAUGAACUAAAUUCAACCAAAAAUUACAUACAUAUCUAUAAUAUAUAAUAUCCAUUAGCUAUAUUACCAACUUAAUUUUAUUAUAGAGUAGCAUACCACAUCUAUAUAGUUUAUAAUUGAGCUACUUAGUAAUGUUAUGAGAAGGUUAUACCAAUAGCUAUAAACAUUCAUCUCCUCGAGUUAGAAUAAUAUGACUUGACAUAGAUUGCAAUAAUGUAAUUUAAAUAGGUCUCUCAUCUACUACUGUAGAUUUUUUAAUCAUUUUUCUUUUCUUUUAAGUGAAAGAUUGGUAAUUGGAGGGUUGGAGUUCACUUAUUCUUUCUAAAUUUUAUGGUUUUGGUUCAAAGACUAAUGAAAAGAGUUGAAGGUUCUAGGGGUUUCCAUGAAUAUCAAGUAGAAUAUGUAUCAAAUUGAUCAUGAUAAGAAUAGCAUUAUGAAUCUUAAAUUAUUUGACUAAUUAAAAAAGAAAAAACAGAGAGAAAAUAUUUUGAAGCAAAAAAGUAAGAAAGGACUCUAAAUUAGUAUUAUGUAUGAAUAUCGAGUGGUUAGCAAAUAAGUUACAAAUUAUGGUAACAAGAAACCACUGGUGUCACAAAAAUAUGCAACUUAUGAAUCUGGGUAUUGUUCAAAUGAUAGUUGAAAAAUAUAGUUUUGAGUGUUAGAGAAAAAAAAAAAAGACGAAAUAAAUUUGUUCAAUAUUAUAUCUACAUAUGGAUGUAGGGUUGGCAUUACUAGUUUUAUAUAUGCUUUCCAAUUUGUUUUCUAUAUUAUCAAUCACUUGUCCACACCUCUCUUGUCUCACAAAUCUUCUUUUGAAUAACUAAGUAACACAUUACCAAAUUACUCUACUAUUUGUAUCUUUGGUUCUAAACCUUAUGCAACACCUAUGGCCUCUAGAAUCGUGCUCUUUAUUAAUUAAAGACAGUACUCCUCUCUCGGACCCCACUCUGUAUAUAAAUCUUGUUGGGUUUUAUAGUAUUGCACCAUUACUUGCCUUCACAUUUCUUUUAAUGUUGAUAAUUUAUGUCAAUUCAUUCAUGCUUUAACUCACAUUCACUUUUAGAUAGUUAAAUGACUUCUUUGGUAUCAUAAGGGGGUUGUUCAUUUCAUGGUCUUACUCUUCAUGUAGCCUAUUUUUUGGAUCUUUUGUUUAUUUUGAUACAUGCCGGUAUAGUUGCCGGAAGAAUCAUUGGAGUACAAUGGCUAUUGUGCUUUCUUUGGAAAUAGUUUUGCCUCUUGAUAUGCUAGUAAACAAAAGGUGGUCUCUCAAUCUGGUAUUGCAUUUGAAUAACAUAGUUGCAUUUGAAUACCAUGUUAUUUACAAAUACUACCUCAAAAUUGGUUUGAAUUCAAUUCAUGUUUUUCCCUUAUUCCAUACACCUUUUAUAUUGUGUGACAAUUUAAGUUCAACCUAUUUGGCUAUGAACCCUAUUUCACAUUCUCAUAUCAAAUAUGAGGAUAUUGACUUCCCCUUAUGCAUAAUCGAGUACUUCAACAAAUCAUUAGAUGUCAAGUUCGUGUCUUUUACUCAUCCAUUGGUAGAUGCUAUAACUAAGCCACUACCUACUCAAAUUCUUAGGUCUUUAUCCCAAGCUCUUAGUUCUUCCAAGACAUUGAGCUUGUAAGGAAUGCUAGAAUAUAGGUCAACUAGCUCAACAUUCUUUUUAUCUUGUUAUAAUGAAAAUUAUAGAAUCUUGUUGGAGUAAGUUAUGUAAUAACCAAAAGUGGUAAUAACUAGGGAAUGAGCUCUUUGAAAGAGGGCAUUCAAAGAAGGAAAAAUACCCUCAUGUUCUUUAUGAGUAUGUAGAUUGCACAUUAAUAUUAAAUACAGAUGUGAAGUUAUAAUUAUAUAUAUAUAUAUAUAUAAAGGAGUACAAGUGCAUAGAGAUGGCAAUGGGACAGUUUGGGAUGGGUGACCCAUCCCAAUCUCAUCUCAUUUAUUCAAAAUAAUUUUCAUUCCUAUUGAUUCAUGCCCAGUUGGUGUAUCAGCUGAUUCAUGUCCAACUGGUGCUCCUUGAUGGAGGGAGUAAUCAACAAUAUUUAUAACCUAUUACACCAUGAACUAAGGUAGCAAAGACAAAGCUACUAUAGUAUAAUGGUUCUAGGAUUGUUCACUAGGAAGGGUUUCCAAAUUACAAAUGAUACCAAUUCAAAGUGAAUUGGUGCUGUUUCAUUUCAAGGUUAACUUAAGAAAUAAAACUCAAACCUUGAUUGGUAAAGAUUUAGAUUCAAACUAACUAACAAAACAAGUAAUGGGAAUAACUUAGGAAGAAAAACAUUCCUUAGAGGGUCAAGUUCACUAGGGUGGUUCCUCGUGCAAAAGACAUAGCUCCGGUCAGAUGGUUCAUUUCCUUGCAUUAAAGAUUCAACAUAUAGUCAAUUCUCUAACCGGUGUUGUACAGAUACAUCUUUUAAUUAGAUUUCAACUUUAAUUCUCUCACUGAUGCAACUUGCAAUGGUUCAAACCUCUCACUAAGCCUUAACCAUUCAAGGUGAUCUUUAACCUUGGACUUCCCUUCUCAAGCUCGCAAGAGAUAACUAAUGGAUGUCUCCUUGGAGUCCAAAAGCUUACCAAGUGUUGGCAAUUCCAGAAAAUCCUACCUUAAAGUCACCUCCUAGAGGCUCACAAGGGGUAAACUAGUGCAUCUCCUUGGUUGGAGAUCACUUGCCUUACCAAGUGUUGGCCCAGGUGACUCUAAGGUGUUUUAAGUUAACUAAAAACAUAGAAAUCACUAAAGGAUUUCACUUCCUCUUCAUUAAUGGCUGAAACCACAAAGCUUUGCAUUCUUGCACUUGGAACCUUCCCCGGCAACCUUAGCUCCAAGGAACUAAAGGUUUAGUUACUCAUUCUCUGGGGAAAAUUCCUCAGAGAGUGCAUAACUUAGUAAGAAAUAAAAAAUACAAAGUGAGAAGGUAAGGCAAAACAAAGAGCCUGAACUUUACUUGCUUUCAAACUUUUACAAAAAGGUUCCUCCUCCUGAGAACAGGCUCUCGAGAGGUAUUUAUAUAAACAUAAUACAAAACUAAUUAUUACAUGGAUAUUUACUCUUUUUCCUAACUUAAAAGCUAAGGAAUCUUGUAAUUGGUGGCUUACAAGGAGAAUUUUGGGAUUUAGACAACAAAAAUCUGAUGGAAAAUAUCUCCCAAUGUUAGUAGCAAAUAUCGGGACGCACUAAGGACCAUUUCGCAAGAGAAAAUGAUGUCUGCGAGAUUUCGCAGACACACAAAAAGGGCUGCGAGAUCACUUCGCAACAAAAGGUUAUUCUCGCAGGGCUGCGAAGUUGGCUUUCAUCUUGAGGUUCUCAGCUUCCAACUUGUCGCAUAUAUCGGGCAACUUCAGGAGGAAAUCCACCACACUAUACAAAAAGGCUGCGAAAUCACUUCGCAACAAAAGGUUAUUCUCGCAGGGCUGCGAAGUUGUCUUUCAUCUUGAGGUUCUCAGCUUCCAACUUGUCGCAUAUAUCGGGCAACUUCAGGAGGAAAUCCACCACACUGUACAAAAAGGCUGCGAAAUCACUUCGCAACAAAAGGGUGAUUUCGCAACACUUUUUGUAAAAUGCUUUCUUCAGCUUAGAGUGAUUGACUUGCAGUGACUGUAACUUCUUCGUUUCAACUCCAAAAUGUGCACCGUUUGAAGCAUUGGAUUGUUGACUUCCUGAGCUUUGAAAUGACAUAUAGCAUGCAUCAAUUGGACUUUAGAAAGUGCUCCAAAAGUGGCUGACACGACUGUCAUCAAGAAUAUGCUUCAUGGCAGAUUCUCUUUACUUCUUCUCCUUGCAUUCCGGAUUUACUUAUGGCAAAGGACUUCAAAGCUUCGGUUCUUCAUGUUUCUGAGCUUCCAAUUGCUUUGCCCAAGAUUCCAUAUAACUCUCCUCAAUCUCGGAUUGCUUUGGUGAUCAAAAGGCUAUCAAAACACCAAAACUUAACAUAAUUUGAUUAGAAUUGAUUGCAAGGGUCCUUAACAUGUUAAUUGGGUUAAAAGGCAAUAACUACUACUCAAAAGUGUUUAAAAGAGUUUAUUAUAAGCUAUGAAAUAGCACUUUUUGAGUAGUAAUCACCUAUCCCAAUUAAAAAAUUAAAUGGAAUGGGUGUGGUAUAAAUUAAGGUGAGGUGAGAUAGGACAAGACAAUAUUUGAAAUCACCUUGAACCUAUCUUGGGUUUUUAAAAAUCUCAAACUUGUUAAUAACCUAUUUAUUUAAAUUUUAAAUUCCCUCCAUUAAAGGCAAGGCAGAGUAGGUACCCAAAAAAAAUCCACCCAUUGUCAUCCCUACAAGUGCAUAUUAAAUAAAUUAAGGGUUAAUUGGUUAAAGCGGUCAAAAUAACCUCCAUAUUUGCAAAUAUAACCCAUCAGUCAAAAAGCAAAAAGGUUGACCUGGUUGAGACAAAAAUACCCUUCUUUUUUCUCUCCAACACAUACAACUUCUCCUCUUCUGCUUCAUUUACAGAACGACUCCUCAUAUUUUCCAAAAAAAUUCUCUCAUCAUCUUCUUCUACUUCAUUAUCUUCCUUUGGUGCACAAAACGGAAAUGUCAUCUCCUCUUCCGCUUCAUUUAUAGAACGAGUUCUCAUCUUUCAUCAUCUUCUUCCUUUGAUGCACAAAACGAAAAUCUCAUAUUUCCUUCAAAAACCCUAGAAAAUUUCUCGUUUAUCCUCUCAUCCUUUGUUUCAUUCCGAAUCCUUGGAAAAAUUAUUAUUCUAUUUUUUUUCAAGUUAUCUCAUAUUAUAUUUUCAAGCACGAAGGAAACAAUGAGUUCAUUGAAAAGUGAUAGGAGAAAAAGAUUUUUAAAAGUGGCAAAAAAUCAAAAAUGGCAAUUACGAACAGAAGAAAAAAGUGAAGCAGAAGAAAGUGAAGCAAAGGAAAGCGAAGCUACUUAGCAAAAAUCUCAAUUACCAAUAGAAGAGGCAAGUGAUUCUGCUAAACCGGUGAGUGUAGUCUUCACAUUUGAUAAAUUAUUGAAAUUUUUAGAGAUGUUAUACAAUAAUAUUUUAGUAUGGUUAAGUUUAUUAGUUAAAUGCACACACAAAAAAAAAAGAUUUAUUGAAUUGUAUUCAAAGUAUAAAAUUGUUAUAUUUAUAUAUAUAUAUAUAUAUAUAUUUUAGUUCUCCAUUAUUAUCAGUUAUGUAUUUUGAGUGAAUAAAUUUAAGUUUGUUAGCUGACAUUUGAAAAUAUUUGGGAACUAUUAUAGUGUGUUGAAAAAUAAUAAAUUGCAUAUUAAUAUUGUUUUAGUUUUCUGUAUUAUUAUCAAUCAUGUGUUUAGAGUGAAGUGAUAUAUUCAAUAUAAUAACAUCUAAUUAGGGAUAAGUUUACAGAUAAUUUAUGAAAUUUUAGGGAUUUUUGGAAAUUUUAGGGAUAUUAUACAUUGGUGUUUUAGUAUGUUUAUGUUCCAAAUGCAAGCAGAUGAUAUUCUUGUUGACUAUGUUAAUGGGCUUCACCCAAUUCCUUCCAUGAAAUGGUCUAAGGUGGACAUCGUCUAUGUCCCUAUUAAUGUCUGAAGUAUGCGUUAGGUAUUGGGAGUAAUUCACCUUGCUCAGAGGAUAAUAUUUGUGUAUGACUCAUUGAUAGGAAUUAAUAGUGAUAAUCGACUAAAAGGUGAUAUAAUACCUUUAGCUAAAGUGUUACUACGUAUUUUGCAUGCUACAUCAUAUUAUGAGAAGAGUGGCAAUCCUAAGAGUGAAGAACAGUGGGACAUUGAACAAUUGCAUGAUGUUCCUCAACAAGAGUAUGAGUAAGUAAACAAAUAUCCAAACUUCAUCUUAUCAUUUCACCUUUAUGCCUUAUACAGUAAAUUUUUUUUAGUCAUCUUAAUUUUGAUUAUUUGUGUUUAUGCAAUGGUGAUUGUGAGAUGUUCCUAAUUAAAUAUGAAAAAUACUUAAGGCAUGCUCAUCCAUUCAGCUCAUUGACCGGUGCCCGCAUUAAUUGGUUUAGAGAGAAAAUGGCAACUGAAUUGUUCUACUUCAAAAAUUUACCCAUGUAGUGGGUUUCAUUUUGAUUGUGUAAAAGGUUUAUAUGUUGUUGAGUGUUGACUGUUAUUUUGGAUGAAUUUGACUUGAUGCUCAAAGUUACAAUUUUUGUAAUGUAACUAUAAUUGUCAACUUAACUAUAGUUAAGUUAUUUGUUAAUGCAAUUCAACAAUUAUUAAGUUCAAGUGAAUAUUCUGAGUGUGAAUUUAACCUCAAUUAAGUUCUUUAUUAAUGCAACUCAACCAUUGUUAAGUUCAGGUGAUAAUUCUAACUGUAAACUUAAUUGUGGUUAAGUUUUUUGUAAAUACAACUCAACUACUGUUAAAUUCAGGUGAAAAUUCUAACUAUGAACUUAACUGUGGUUAAGUUAUUUAUUAAUGCAACUCAACUACUGUUAAGUUCAGGUGAAAAAAUAAACAAAAAACUUAACCACAAUUAAGUUCUUUAUUAAUGCAACUCAACCAUUAUUAAGUUCAGGUGAAAUUUAUGACUGUGAAUUUUCUUACCAUUAUUUGACCUUGUCAUAUGGAUAAAUCUUUUCAACUUCUUUUAAAUGAACUUUUCACUUUUUCAUAACUAACAAUGGAGUCUCUAUUUUUUACCAACAAUGUUGAAGUCAGAUUUUGAAUUUUCAAGAAAUAGAAAGAAAUAAAAUGAUAAUAUAAAAAAGAAAUUGUUGGUUGUUUACAUUUAUUUUUUCAUAUUUUCGUGACCAAGAAUGAAGAAUAGAUGAAACAAUGGUAAGAAGUUAAACUUGUUCUCUGCAAGAAAAGAGAGAGAAUGAGCAACCAAUGAUCGAAUAAAAAAAUUAGAACCUAAUCUGCUAUAAAACAAAGGGAAAGGGAAAAGAGAAGUUGUAUAUGUUAGAGAGAAAAAAGGACAUUUUUGUCUCAACUGGGUUAACUAUUUUGCUUUUUGACUGAUGGGUUAUAUAUGCAAAUAUGGGGGUUAUUUUGACCCAUUUAACCAAUUAACCCAUAAAUUAAUGUGGUGGCUCUAAUGGAGACAUGCUUAGAAUAUGAUAUGAUGGGAGUAUGAGUAUAUAUGCAAAACAUAGAAGAAUAUAGAACGUAUGAAUAAAUGUAACUUUUGAGUGUGAGAUCAUAACAAAUUGGGUGCAGCAUAUAAAAAUAUAUUGCUUUAAGAAUUCUGGUGGGCUGAGUGUUUUGGUAUAGGAAUUAUUGGAGAGAAUAUGGAAGGCAAAAAUCUGGAAUAUUUUGGAUAAAUGAAAACUCACUUGUUGAUACAAACUCACUUGGUGGUCGUAGAAUUCCAAAUUGAAGUGCAGCACCUUAAUAUUUUUGGACAAGAGGUAUAAAUAGGAGUCAUACCUAGAACAUAGUGUAAAUAUACAGUGUAAAGUAGUAAAUAAUCUUAAAUAUAUAUACUAUAUUUGAUUAUAUGUUAAAAAAAAUGAUUUUCUCAUAUUUGGUUUCAUCAUAGAAAAUACGGAAAAAAUAUCAAAUAUAAUUAAAAUUAAUUAAAAAUUUAAACAUUUUAAAAUUAUUUCAUAUUUACAUAGAAGGAGAAAAGGAAUGAAACACGUUUGAAUUAAUAUAUUAAAAUGAAUUAAUGAUUUUAAUUUUUUUUUUUUCAUUUUUUUUCUUUUCUUUAACUUUUCCUUUAUUUUCUUUCUUGUAUCUUCCCUUCAAUUUUCCAGAAACCAAACAUAGUUAAAAUAAACAUUUAAUUUGAAUUUCCUAAAAUAACCUAAUGGGAAUUUAAUUUAUUUUACUAUUUUGCAUUAAUUUAUGAAAUAUCUAUUUUUCUGUCCAAAUUUAGAAAUUUUUUUUUUGUAUUUUUGUAAAUUUUGUACAUGAAAUUUAUUCAUUCAAUUACACUAACAUUUAUAAGACAGUAUACAUCCUUAUCUGUAGCAUAAACUUUUCUUUCCAUUUUCACUAGUGUUCUUAACAGGCUAUGUUCAGACCCAACAAAUCCACUCAUGGUUCUUCCUUGGCAACUACGGAUCAUUGAAAACCAAAUCUCAAUGCUCCAUGCAUGAACACAAUCCCUCCAUUCGAGUCAGGUCUCUGAUGUGUUUGUGCCCAUGGCUGUGGUACCAUAAGCACAAAUUCAUUUCUGAGAAUGAAACAAGCAACCAAACGGACCCCAGGAUACUUCAGUUUGAGAUUUUGACUGGGAUUUUUCGGAAGAUCAUCCCUGAUUUGAAUUUUCAUGGCUCAAAACAUUCCCUAGAUUACUCAGCCUCCAUUAACGCUCAUUUCUCAAUGAAAGCAAAAUGCUGAAGUUUACCAACCCAGGUUCAAACUUAGUACACUUGUCAUAUGAUGCAGGACUGAGCUAAUUCAAAACUGUUCCAUCUCAUGUGGCAAUCCUAAAGUCAUAUUGCUUCCUUCCAGCAUUACAGAACAAAACUCAAAAGGUAAAAGCAAAGCAAAACUCAUUCUGUGUCGUAUCAUGCUGAACUUAGGAACUAAAAUAUCUAUGGUUAAACACCUGGAAAGUAAUAACUCCAUGGUUCCCUAGGAUGGGAUCAGUCCAAGUCUCAGGAAUUUGAAAAAGAUUUUAUGUGCCAGCAUGAAAAUAAAAUUUAGGCCCAAAGAUCCCUGACCAAGUUAUCUUGGCCUUCACAACCCUCUCCCAGCACAUUAUCAAGGGUAUCUACUUUGUUUCCCGAUGGAUAUUUAGACCAGCUUUCACUAAAAUGGUUUUGGGGAUCAAGCAGAAAGUACAAAAUAGAUUGUAUGCCAUUCUAAAUAGAAUGCAUGUCACACCAGGACUGCAAUUUGAUCAUGAAAAUUGACAGAGAUCAUCUCACCUAGAAGUAUGAAUUUCUAUAAAAUUUACAAUAAUUCCUGCUCUCCUGCAGACAAGUGUACUGAGACAAAAACCAAAAACAAAAAGAGGAGUAUAGUUUUCACCUAUAGAACAACACCGGUGCUUAACUUGUAUUCACUAGCAAACAAGGCAAAAGGUGCUCACUUCUCAGAAACAUGUUCUAUUUCUCCUUCUUUACAAGUAGUGAUCAGGACCCAAUAACAUCCUUUGUAGGAAUGCUGAUCUCAACCUGCUCAAAUGUUGAAGCUCUUGCAGAAGGUUUAUGUAACCAGUCAAGGUUCUUCCUGGACCUUCAGCCAUAUAUCUUUCAAAGCUAAGCCUAAGUGCUUCAUGAAUAGUAUAGCCCAUAUCGUAACCAGUUCUUCCAAAUGUUUCCACAGCAUGAUUGAAGUAUCCAUCAAAGAUCCAUUCAUUGCUGACAGAGAUUGUUAAAGGUAACCCCAUAUGCCUUGGGAUGCCAUUCAUAUUUGCUAAAAUAUUUCUUCCAGGACCUCUGUAAUCAGAUGAACCUGGACACUGCUGCAUUUGCAUUAGAUUAAUUUGCUGAGAUCCUCGGUGAUUUAAAUCAGAGUGGCACACGAUUCUGGACAUUUUCAUAGCAGUGGGGGAGAAUCUGAAUUUGAAAGUACUGCAAGCUCCCAAACGGAAGGGCUCAUCACAUCUUGAACCAGCUCCUCUCUUAUUGUUAUAGCCUGGGUAGUCCUCUUUCUUAAAAUCAACACACUCAAACAGCACCAGAGAGUUUUGAGAAGCAAGUUCCUCAAGAUUCCAGUGGGAAAAUGGAGCUGUGGUUUUGUGAUUUACAUGAAUUUCACCAUUGGCUCUUAGCAUGCCACUUGCAUUCCUGAAGAAACCAUGCACAAGAUCCCUAUGCAUACUGUAGCAUAAGAUGGGAUGACAACAUAAGUACAAUCCACACAGAAUUAAUAAAGAAAUCAGCCAUUCUAUAAAAGCCUUAGGUACAACUAGAUUGAACCAUUUGAAAUCAGCAGAAAACAAUGCAUCAAAGAUACUCGUAUUCCUUUUGAUUUUUUUUUUUUUUUUUUGGUUGUCAGACACACUGGUAGAAAAUAUUAUCAGAUGAUGAUGUCUAUAAUUAAUUUACCUGUGAUAAUGAAAAUUUUCUUCUACAUAUUUGUAUCUUUGAUAUAUAUUCUACCACUUCAAAAGAGAAACCCAGCACUCCCAUCAUUUGGAAGCAAAGGCACAAUAUUUCUGGUGCACCUGUAUAGCAGUUAAUCUUGUUUUAAGGUUGUAAGUUAGAUGCCUAGCAUCUGAGCUGAAGACCAGCACAUGGGCCAAUGCCCAUGGUACAUGAUAGUAACAACUAGAAUUCUUGAAAAUACUAUGAAGACAAUAACUGAUUCAGUUACAUGUAGGGUUCCAAAUACCCCACCCCCCCCCACCCCCCCAGUUCAAUCCUUUGCUGCCCUGGCUUUUGUGAUGGAGACUUUGUCCAUCAACAUGUAGAAGCUGAAAUUAUAACAUAAUCUCAGUAUGGAGGCAUUGGAAACCUACACAUGACCAUGUAGAUGUGAUUCAUUUGCCAAUACGAUGAAUCAUACUGCACUUGUGCAGACUCAUGGCUANNNNNNNNNNNNNNNNNNNNNNNNNNNNNNNNNNNNNNNNNNNNNNNNNNNNNNNNNNNNNNNNNNNNNNNNNNNNNNNNNNNNNNNNNNNNNNNNNNNNNNNNNNNNNNNNNNNNNNNNNNNNNNNNNNNNNNNNNNNNNNNNNNNNNNNNNNNNNNNNNNNNNNNNNNNNNNNNNNNNNNNNNNNNNNNNNNNNNNNNNNNNNNNNNNNNNNNNNNNNNNNNNNNNNNNNNNNNNNNNNNNNNNNNNNNNNNNNNNNNNNNNNNNNNNNNNNNNNNNNNNNNNNNNNNNNNNNNNNNNNNNNNNNNNNNNNNNNNNNNNNNNNNNNNNNNNNNNNNNNNNNNNNNNNNNNNNNNNNNNNNNNNNNNNNNNNNNNNNNNNNNNNNNNNNNNNNNNNNNNNNNNNNNNNNNNNNNNNNNNNNNNNNNNNNNNNNNNNNNNNNNNNNNNNNNNNNNNNNNNNNNNNNNNNNNNNNNNNNNNNNNNNNNNNNNNNNNNNNNNNNNNNNNNNNNNNNNNNNNNNNNNNNNNNNNNNNNNNNNNNNNNNNNNNNNNNNNNNNNNNNNNNNNNNNNNNNNNNNNNNNNNNNNNNNNNNNNNNNNNNNNNNNNNNNNNNNNNNNNNNNNNNNNNNNNNNNNNNNNNNNNNNNNNNNNNNNNNNNNNNNNNNNNNNNNNNNNNNNNNNNNNNNNNNNNNNNNNNNNNNNNNNNNNNNNNNNNNNNNNNNNNNNNACUGUUUCCCAAAAGUAUACAGGGCUAAGGACUACAAGAUUAGAGUAUAGUACACAAGUAACGAGUUGAUUCCAAUACAUAUAAAAUACAAGAAAAGGGAAAGAGAGAGACCGUAUGGGUCGAGAGAAGAAGCAACGAUGUUGGAAGCAGAAGCAAAAGAGUGAGCCAAACACAGAGAGAAAGAGAAGUCUCCUUCACCAACCAAGAGAAUUUGAUGAAACGAGGAAUAAUGCAUCAACCGUUUCUCUUGUUCUUCCACACCCACUUCAUCUUUCACCAUUUCCUCCCCGACAGCCAUUGACGCUUUCUACAGUUACAGAACCAGAGAGACUCACUGAGAGAGAAAGGUAGUGAAAGUUUGGCCGUGUUUAAAGGGCUUAUUUGAAAAAUAGAGAUUAUUUUCAAAUAGAAAUAUUUGGGCUGAAUUUACCGAGAUGCCACUGUUACCUGGAUGCUGCAAGCAGUGGGAUUGUCUCGUUUGUGAGCGAUGGAGCUUGGGAGGGGCAUUUUGGGAAUGGAAGAUGCAUGGCAUGGUCGCCCAUUAAUGGUGGCCUGCCCUAACAUUGGGGAGUUCAAGCGUCCUUAAGCUCGGCUCAUAUGGCUUCUGACGGUGCAGAUUAAAAGGGCUGGGGGAAUUACUUUCCUUUUUGGGUUUUUUUUUUGGGAAAAUUGUGUUUUGGCCUAGCUGGGCCCAAAAAUUAAUGUAUGAUUCAUAUAAGUUUCAUAUUUAAGCCCAACACCCAAUGAAAGAGUGAAAAUUAAGAGUAAGGAUAUUGUCUUUAAAAAAUCCCUAAAACGCCCUUAACUAUUAAAUGAAAAAAGUAACCACUCACCUCACCUUUCUCAUUCUCUCUUUGACUCUUUUGCCCUUCUCUCACCUAUUUAAUAGUGGAACCAACUUGAAUUAUUUUUCUUCCUCAAAUAUGAAAGAUGGUUAAAAAUUAUUAUUAUCAAAUAUAUUUUUGAAGUAAAUAACUUUUAAAUACCUCAUCAAAUAUUAUUAUUUUUUUCAAACUUACAUAAUAUAUAAUAAAUAUUUUUUAAAUAUAUUGAAAACUUACAUAAUAUAUAGUAAAUAUCAUUCUUUAUUUCAAACUUAUAUUAUUUCUCAUAUAUAUUAAAUAAUUUUUAAACACCUCAUAAAAUAUUAGUAUUAUUUGUUUACUCCAACUUGUAAAUUAGAUAUCAUCAAAUAUUAUAUUUUUUUUAAAUUUAUAGAACAUAUAAUAAAUACUUUUUAAAUACCUCAUAAAAUAUUAUUAAUUUUUUUUUCUAACUUGCAAAUUAGACACAUGGUGUUUAUUAUUUUUUCAAAAAUUAUGUAAACACUCACAUGCAUAUAUAUAAUAUUAAUCAAGAAAACAAUAUUUUUAAGACUAAUUUACCAACCUUCCAAUAAUUUUGAAAGUGUAAAUAGAGUAAUUGGCCGAAUUAAAGUCUUCAAAAAUAUUCAAAAUUUCUCCAUUCCAAAAUUACCUAAUUGCUCUCCACACUAAUUCUAAAUAUUUUUGAAUAAAGAUUUAAAUAUUUAAAACCAUUAAAUAAAUACUUUCUUAUUAAAGCAAUUUUUUCAAAGUAAUAUGAUAAAAAUCAUGAAAUCUUCAAAACUAUAAUUACAACAAAUAUUUUUUAAUUUUAAAACUAAUUUCAUAAUUUAAAUUAAUGAUUUAAAAAAAUAAAAAUGUUAUAAAAAUAAUUUUUAUUUAUUUAUAAUUUCAUUUAAAUAUGAUUUUUUUAAUCUCUAUUGAUAACAAUGAAAUUAUGUUUAUAAAGGCAAAAUAGUAAAAAUAUAUAUUUCAUUUAGUUUACUUAUAAUGAACAAUUCAAAUAUGAUUGAUUUUAAUUUUAUUUCCUAUGUGUUAAUUUUUGUAGGGAAUGUCUUAAUGACAUAGUUUGGUAAAAAAAGAAAAAAAAAACUAUCAAUAAUCGUCUUAAAGUCAAAUUCAAGUUAUUUAAAAAUCGUACAAAACCUAUUAGGAGCCUUGUACACCCUUGUACACUUAGCACAUUUCCCUUGUACAGUUAGUGUAAUACCUUUGUACAAUGACACAAAUUUCAUAUUUAUCUUAAGUUAUAUGUUCAUAUAGGUGUAUUAAUAAUAUUUUCAAUGGUUUGGUUAAGAAAAUGAUGGAUGACUUAGGAUCAAAUUUUUUUUCCCCAAAUAUCAUAAUUAGGGAAAAUAUUAGAAUUUUCAUGUGAGAGUUAAAUAAAAUGCAUGACAUAGACGUACAAUCUUUGGGUGACAAGGAAAAUAAAAAAGUGGUUUAGAAUUGAUUAAAAUAAUUCACAAAGGGUAAUCUUGUACACCUUUGUACAAUUAGUACAUUUUCCUUGUACAGUUAGUGUAAUACCCUUGUACAAUGACACAAAUUUUAUAUCCCUCCUAAGUUAUGUGUCCACGUAGGAAUGUUUAACCAUAUUUUCAAUGAUUUAGUUGAGAAGAUGGUAGACGAUUUAAGGUCAAUUUUUUUUUCUCCAAAUAUUAUUAUUAGGAAAAAUAUUGGAAUUUCCAUGCGGGAAUUAAAUAAAGUGCAUGACAUAUGUGUACAAUUCGUGAGUGAUAAAAAAAAAUAAAGGAAUGACUCAUAAUCAAUUAUAAUAUUUCAUAAAUGGUAGCUGUCACACCCUCGAAAAUCACCCUAAAAUUUUCACUUGGUGCGUGGUGCUAAGGACCCUUCCUUAGCCAACCUUCCUGCCCAGCCUUCUCAAAACGCACACAAAUAGUGGCAAACCAAAGAAAACAGGGACACAACGAGGUUACAGGAAAUCCUUCCCAACUUGUAUUAAUCUUAACUACAAGAUACAAAAUUGUUUCCCUGAGUCAGAGAGCAAUGCUUACAUCCUAAGCAUUCAGAGACACUUUCCCUCUUCUCUCCCUCUCUCAAGGUUGCAGGAGCCCUUUUAAACGACUCACCCUGCAGUUUUUCCCUUGGUGGUUAUGCAACCGCCCAUAACCCUCCCUGAAGCGCUUGCACAACCACCCACUACCCAGAUGGUGGUCUCUCUAAAAACUGCCACGUGGCUUCCUCUCUCUUGGACACGCAGACGUCCCCCUUUCGACGCGUGGCAUCACUCAUUCCACCCGGACGGAAAUUCUCCCUCAUUCCACCCGAACGGAAACUCUCCCUUAUUCCACCCGGAUAUAUCACAUCCGAAAUCCUGUCCGCUGACAUUCCAUCCACCCGGAUAUCUCAUAUCCGGAAUCCUGUCCGUCGACAUUCCAUCCACCCGGAUAUCUCACAUUCGAAAUCCUGUCCACCGACAUUUCCAUCCACCCGGAUAUCUCACAUCCGGAAUCCUGUCCGCCGACAUUUCCAUCCACCCGGAUAUCUCACAUCCGAAAUCCUGUCUGCCGACAUUCCAUCCACCCGGAUAUCUCACAUCCGGCGCUUGUCACCGGAUGGGAGAGGAGGAUGAUUCAACUUCCCCGGAUAGACAUGUUCGGAUCCUUCGGUAAUGCUUAUCCGGAGAACAUCCGUGGCCAACGAUUCAGAUUCCCCGGAUAGCUUGGCUUGUCAGAUACUCGCGACUCGCCAGAUCCACCUUAGCUCCUAGGGUUUGAACCACCAAAACUCCAGGCUUUCCUUGCUUUCCGCCUAGGCUCUCAUGGGUACAAGGCCUACCCAUGAGGCCUAUUUCUCCGGGUCUGAAUCAAGUGGCUAAGGGGCUGACGGUAGCCUUGUACACCUUUGUACACUUAAUACAUUUCCCUUAUACAGUUAGUAUAAUACAAUUGUACAGUGGCGCAAUAAAUGAAUAAAUAAAAUUUAUUAUUUUUUUAUUUUCAUAUAAAAAAAUAGUACUAAACAAGGUGUAGACCCCCAUUUAGGCAUGGGUCACUUUUUCUCUAUUUUUGUUUUUGCAGAUCACAUUUUUAACCAGGUGUCACUAUCCCAGUGGGCCACGUGUCACAUCCUUAGUGGCCAUAAGGAAUCAACCUCGCUUUUUGAAGCUGCAAUAGGACUUUGACACUUGGAGGAACUUUUUGGAGGGGGGUCCCGCAGGCUGUUGGGUAGCUAUAGAAGGAGUGGGACAGGAAAAGGUGGUUGCAGCAGAGAUCGUGGGAAAGGCAAAUCUGAGAGAGAAAGGAAGAGAAAAGAGGAAAACAGGAAAAUGAGGGAAAAGAGAGGAGAUAUUGGGGAAGCAGUAGAGAGAGUGAGAGGUGUUUUCCAUGAUCGUUUGAGAAGGAUUUUUGAGCAGAGCACCCACAAAAUAUGAAACAGUGAGUUGGAAGCCUCAAAAUAUCCAGCAGAGAAAGGGAUUUCCAAGUAUGUUUAUCAAUCCUCUAUAUCUUUUAUUGACAUUUGAAUGCUCAGUGAUUUGUUUGGGGUGGAUAUUAAAGGCCACUUGUUUGUUUGUUGGGAUGUAACCAUCUGUUUGUGCUUGCUAUUGUGAAUAUAAAUUUGGUUUGCCUCUAUUGUGAUUAUGAAAUGCCCGAGAAUCACGCCCAUGGUAGCUUUUGAUAUGAUUUUCCCACCUGCUCAGAGGACUCAUUGAUGAUUCAUGAAGUGAAGUCUCUGUAGUUUUAUCUAUUUAUUCGUUUUCUUUGGUGCUCUGUUUUUUUUCCAUCUUCCUCUGUUUCUGGCGCCUGUUCAUGGAAUGGGUUGUUUCUCUGAUCCCUGCUUGAAGGGGAUCCUAGAAAAUCUGGAGUAGUUGUCAUGGCAGCAAAGCUCACCUCAUCAGCAUCCCUAUACCCAUCGUUCAUCUAUCCACCUUUCUCUCUAGAUCUUCAUACCCAUUUCCUCACUCAAGCUUGCAGGAAUCAGGCAUCCUCCACUGCACCCAUUUUCCUCUCAUUCAUUCUCCAUCCCACUCCUCCACUUACAUGGGGUCUCACGGGUACGUGCUAUCCUUCACUCUUUCGCAUACCCAUUAAAACCACUCACUCAAGCCUCCAUAUCCAUACGGCCCACCAAACCCGUUUCUCUCUUUAAACUUUCACCUAUCUGUGGGAUCCUCCCUAAAAAAAUGCCACAUGGCUCUCUCUCCCGUGUGCAAGCAGGCGGCCCCUUUGCGACGCGUGGCAUAGCUCAUUCCACCCGGACGGAAAUCCGCCGCCAUUCCAUCCGGAUGUCUCACAUCCGGAAUCCUUCUCCGCCGCCAUUCCAUCCAGAUGUCUCACAUCCAGAAUCCUUCUCCGCCGCCAUUCCAUCCGGAUGUCUUACACCCGGAAUCCUUCUCCGCCGCCAUUCCAUCCGGAUGUCUCACACCCAGAAUCCUUCUCUGCCGCCAUUCCAUCCGGAUGUCUCACACCCGAAAUCCUGUCCCACUGCCAUUCCACCUUCUCCGGAUGUCUCACAUUUUAAAUUCUCAUCCUUAGGGUUUCAGGUCCUAAAAAUCACAUUUUUAAUAAAAAUUGGUUGCCACUUUCUUUCUGGCAAGCCAUUUUCACACCUUCUCUGUUUUAAAAAAUGUUUUGAAAUAAGCAAAGAAUCCAAUUUUGUAAUUCUGAAUAAUGGAAUUUACGGAUUUGGUCCAUGCAAAAAUAAACGAGCUAUGGUGGGGGCCCGACAUCAAAUAAGUUUCCUUUAAAAUAAAAACGGAAUUGAAUGAGAUACCAUGCAUGAUAUUGGUACUCCUUUAUCUAGUUGGAUGAUAUGAGUGAUAUACUUUAUGUUCAUUACUAUGCACUAACCCUAAUUUGUGAUAGCGCGUUGUCGUUUGCUGAUCAGGUACGCAUCCGCUUCCACUUUGGUUAUUCUCUAUGUAUAUUCUGAUUCUCAUAUGUGCAUGAUAGUUUCGGGUACUCAUUGAUUUCCUCAUCAAUUGCCAUGUUAGCUUCAUUUUAUUAGUAGAGACCCGACUUUAGGGACUUAGAGGGGUGCUACGGUCUUUACCGUACCUUCCCGAUAAGUAACCUGACCCCCGAACCCGAUCCGGUUUUUCGCAGAUCACCUUUUCCAAAUAAGGAGUCACACUUAGGGUUUUCUUUCUUAUUUUGUUUACCCUUUAAAAAAAUAAAACAAAAAUAAGUGGCGACUCCAAGUUAUUUUUUUUUAACCGAUUAAAUCAUUUUUUCGAAAUAAAAAUCAAGAGCUCGCCAUUCGAGUGGGAAACACAUUGAGCCGAAAUGCGGGGUCCACACAAGGUUUUUAAUUUUCAUUUUAAAAAAUACUUUUCAUUUUUUAAUUAAAAAUAUUUUCAAAAAGAGACAAUAUGGAAAAUAAAAAUUAUUUUUAAAAAUAAAAAAUAAAAACUAGAAAAAUAUUUUAAAACCAAACUCAAAUAUAAUCUAUAUAAUAUUUAACUACUUGUUUUCAUCUAAAAUAAGUAAAUAUAUCUUUCAACCAUUUUAUAUAAGAAAAAUUCAAUCUCUAUUAUGUAUUGAUAUAAUCCACUUCUAAAAUUAGGUCAUAUGAAAACAUUUUAAUUGAGUACUUAAAAUAAAAACUUUCUAUCCAUCCUCUUUCUUUCUUUUUCUUUUUCUUAUUUUAAUAAAUUUUCAAUUAAUUCAAAUCAUUAAAAUAAAUCCUUAAUAAACAAAUUUGCAACAUUUCAUAUAACUUAUUAUUAAAAGUCAUGUUCAAAAAGUUAUUAAAAUAAGGAAGAAAGAAGAUUAAAAAAAAUUAAACUUUUUAUUUUAUAAUAGUAAAAAAAAACUUUAAAAUAAUUUUUAAUAUAAAAAAAAUAAAAUAGUGAAUAUAUUUAUUUUAAAUAGUAUUUUAAUCAUUAAAUUAUUUACUUCUAAAAUAUAAAAGAUAAAAAUAAAUGUAAAAUGUAAUUUUUAUUUAUUUAAAUUAAUUUUUUUCGAAAGUAUUUUCCAAAAUAGUCUUUGAAUCAUUAAUAUAAUUUUUGUUUAUUUAUAAUUUAAAAAUAAAAAAAUAAUGUUGAUUUUUCAAUUAUUUAUAAAAGAGUUUAAAAAAAUAAUGAAAAAUCUAAAAAUGGUUAAAUAAGAAAGAAUAGUGGCAUGUAAAGGGUGGUAGAAUAAAGACAAAAGUGAGUCAAAUGAAUAUUUUUGUCUAUUCCCAUCUCAUAUCCUUGUAAUCGAUUAUGGGUGUUUGAUGGACUCUUUAUUAAUUAUCAAAACCAAAUGGGUCUAAAGCCCAAUUCUCCCUUUUUUUUUUUUUGGAAAGUAUGGUAUGUAAUUACAUAAAAUUAAUUAGUAUAAAAUAAUCUUUAGAAUUGUGAAUCUAACUGUUCCAUAAUUUUAUAAAAUAACCAAUUUUUUUAUAUAAAUAUUUUUAUUAUUUCAUGUAUUCACUCCUAGAUUUUUUUUUUCUUAAAUUAUUUUUAUAAGAAAAUAGUGAGGAUGUUUUCAUCAAAAAACGAGACCAAAAAUUGAUGAAAGGUUUAGGAUCUAUUUAAUAAUUGUUUUUGAAAAUUGUUUUAAAAAUAGUUUUAAGAACAGUUUUUAAAAACUGUUUUCUAAUUUUGUAAAAUAAAAAUUUGUUUAAAAAUUUAAAAUAUUUUUAAUAUUUUUAAAUAUGUUUUAAAAAUAACUUUUAUGUCUAGUGUUUUACUUUUAAUCAUUCUAUAUAUUUGUAUAACUAUAUUUUAAAAUAAUUCUCCAAAAACAAGUGAAAACAUAAAAAAAUAAAUAAAAUUUAUUAUCCGAAAAUACCAUAUUUUUUAUUUUUAAAAACAGAAAAUAAAAAACAAUUUUUUAUUAUCAAAUACAUUUUCCUAUUUUUUUGCUCUAGAUAACAAAAAACUAUUCUCCAAAACAGUUAUCAAAUUGACUCUUAAAUUUCUAACGUUGAGUGUUCAGUAACUCUUUUAAUCAAAUAAUCCAAAUAUAUAAAUGUUUUUAAUUGAAAUAAGAAAAAAAAAUUAUGAAUUAUUAAGUGUAAAAAAUAAAAAUUAUUUGUUCACAUGUGUGAAACAUGUCUCGGGAAAAGUUUUGCAAAAUAGGGAUAAUUUGUUGUAUAAGUGAUCAAGGAAGCAAUUUAAUGAGAUUGGUCUAGAAUACAUAACCAAUGCACUGCGGGUAAGUUCAUUUUUCAAGCCACGUGUCCUACGUAUUCGUACAAUUUAGUGGCAUCUACUGAAAGAAAUUGUUAGUUUUGUGGACUUAAUAAUCGUACGCUAAGAGACGCAAGGAGAAAUUCAUGCAAAAUGUGACAUUAUUGAGCUCUGCUAUGAACCCAAUGGAUAGGACUGUUAAAUAGAGGAAGAUCAAAGGCUACAAAUGGUCGGCCAAGGGAGGAGUUCGAGCCUUAAGAGGGCUAUUUUUAGCACAUUAGCUAUGGGAGGUAUGGCUUGGGCAUGUGUGGAGACAACUUGCAUCCACAUGGCCUGAGGCAUGUAGUGGAGGUAUGUCGAAACUCAAGCAUGGUGCUGGGCUUAGAAAACAUACUUGUCAUAGAGGCUUCAACUUCCGACACGCAUAGGUCAUAAUUUGGCGCAAGUGCAAACAACAUUGUCAAGACAUGUUGUUUAACUAGAGGCAUGGGGUGCGACAAUGGCGCCCCGUGGUGGCAAACUCACAUGGACUUGAGAUAGUAAGUGUUGGAUGUUGGUGUGUGUAUGAUAGGCGGUGAGUGGUACUAGAAGCACAUAAUAUUAUCAAGACACGUUGCAUAACUAGUGUUGAAUGUUGGCAUGUGUGUGGGUAUGCGCGUGCGUUUUGGGCGAGGAGGGUUGGGCUUGUGGUCUCACUUAGGACAACCUAAGGGUGUGGGCUAUGGCAUGACACUAGCUCACACAAGGUGCUUUAGGCCUCUCCAUUGAUAAGUGUAGGGCACCACACCUUUAGAACUUACAUACACCCAAGUGCCCAAUGGUUUAAGCAGGGUAUAGCUGCAUGAAGAAAACCUGAGCAAAGCAUGACAAAUGUUAGAUGUGGGUUGUAUGGCUGCAACAAAUUGGAUUAAUGUAGGCAACUUGAUGCAUGGGUUGUUGGCAAUUCAUAAUGCAUAUAAACAAUUCAUUCAUAUGUAACUUAUGCCAUACUUACCUCCAGCCAUUGUUGGGUUGCAAGUCUUUGGUUUCCAAAACUCUAUCUCUCCUUAUGGAUGGUGUAGUUUCUGAAGAUUUUCAGCAGCAUGAGAGAGGAGCUUGGGAACAAGACCAAUAUUUAAAAUACAAAGAAAACGUGGCUUCCCAUCAAAGCCACGUUUCUCUUAUUUGCCACACGAUGAGCAGUUGAAAGAAACGUGCUCCUUAACAGCAACUACAUGAUGAAGGACGUGGCCAAGUGUUGGACUACUUCAGGGCAGCGGAACGUGGGUGGUGAACGUCGGUUAUUUGAUAACAUUCUCCCACUUGGUCCACACUUUUAACCUCAUGUCCUAUCUUAGAUCAUCAUUUUUCCGCAUUAAGUAACAAAUAUAUGAAUCAUGGCGAUAAGUACUCUAUAUAACGAGUGUUAUCUUCCAUGUAUUAUAAUGUAUUCAUUUCUUAACAUUUUACUUUAUGUGGCAAUAUUGCUUAAUGAAUAAACCCUAUGUUCAUUCUUGGUCCAAUGAAGUUGAAUUUUCUCAAAAUUAAAUAAAGGUGCACAUCAAUAUGAGAAAACAUCAUAAUAAGAGUUUGUACAAUAAAAACUACAUAAGAGAACUAAGUCCCAUGUUCAUUACAUGAUCCUUGAAUUUCAACGGUGGCAUGCCCUUAGUCAAAGGAUCAGCAAUCAUCAAUUCAGUGCUAAUGUGCUCAAUAACCACUUUCUUUUCUUUAACACGUUCUCUUAUGGCUAGAUACUUAAUGUCGAUGUGCUUGCUUUGACUUCCACUUUUAUUGUUCUUUACCAUAAAGACUACAGCUGAAUUGUCGCAAUAUAUACUCAAUGGCCUAGAUAUUGAAUCCAUAACUCUAAGCUCGGAAAUGAAACUCUUAAGUCAUACACCAUGUGAAGUAGCCUCAAAACAAGAUAUGAACUUAGCUUCCAUAGUAGAAGUAGCAGUCAUGGUCUGCUUAAUGCUCCUCUAAGAUAUAGCUCCACUGGCUAAUAUAAAAAUGUAUCCAGAUGUUGAUUUACGUGAAUCAACACAGCCAGCAAAGUCUGAAUCUGAGUAGCCAACUACCUCUAAAUUGCUUGUUCGUCUAUACAUAAGCUUGUAAUCUUUGGUUCCUUGAAGAUAUCUCAUCACUUUCUUUGCAGCUUUCCAGUGGUCUAUACCUGGGUUACUCUGAUAUCGUCCUAACAUUCCAACAGCAAAUGCAAUGUCAGGCCUUGUGCAGACCUAAGCAUACAUCAAACUUCCGACUACAGAAGCAUAUGGAAUGUUCUUCAUUUGUUCCCUCUCAAGAUCGUUUUUCGGGCAUUGGUUCAGAUUGAACCUAUCACCCUUCACUAUAGGGGAAACACUAGGUGAACAAUUCUUCAUCCGAAAUCUCUCUAAAACUUUAUUGAUAUAGGUUUCUUGAGACAAACCUAAGAUACCUUUAAAUCUGUCUCUAUGGAUCUUAAUGCCAAUGACAUAAGAUGCCUCACCCAUAUCCUUCAUGUCAAUCUUUUUAGAGAGGAAUUGUUUCACCUCAUGAAGUAAACCCUUAUCAUUGGUUGCAAGUAAGAUGUCAUCCACGUAUAAAACAAGAAAACAAACUUUACUCCCACCGACCUUAAGGUAUAUGCAUUGAUCCAUAACAUUUUCAACAAAACCGAAUGAAGAAAUUAUGUUAUGGAAUUUUAAAUAUGAUUGGCAAGAUGCUUGUUUUAAACCGUAUAUGGAUUUCUUAAGCUUACAAACCAAUUGCUCACCAUCACUAGAGGGGAAUCCUUCAGGUUAUUUCAUGUAAACCUCCUCCUCUAGCUCUCCAUUAAGAAAUGUUGUUUUCACAUCCAUUUGUUGCAAUUCCAAAUCAAAGUGGGCUACUAAUGCCAAUAUAAUGCGUAAGGAAUCUUUCUUAGAUACAGGAGAAAAGGUUUCCGUGUAAUCGAUUCCUUCUUUCUGAGUGAACCCCUUUGCAAAAAGUUUGGCCUUGUAUCUCUCAAUGUUGCCUAAUGAGUCUUUCUUUGUCUUAAAAACCCAUUUACAACCAAUGGUUUUUGCACCAUUAGGCAACUCAAUAAGGUCCCAAACAUCGUUGCACUUCAUGGAACUCAUCUCAUCCUUCAUGGCAUUGUACCAUAAUUCUGAUUCUUUACAAUUCAUGGCUUGUGAAAAUGAUUCGGGAUCAUUUUCGGCUCCUAUAUUAUAGUCAGAUUCUUGUAGAUACACUACAUAAUCACUAGGAAUUGCUGACCUCUUAGUUCGAGCAGACCUUCUUAAGGUUGCACCAAUAUCUUCCGAGGAAGUAUGAGAUUCAACUUGUUGUUCAGAAGUGUUAGGCAAAUCCUGAUCAACUUGGUCUACUGGAAUGUUGUCAACAACUUGUAGAACUUCAAUGACUGGUUGAACUUCAUCGAUUGUUCGUUCAACACCCGUUUGUACUUGAGGGGUGUUAUGAACAAUAAACAAUCUAUCGCUUGAAGUGGAAGGUUGAGACUCUGUAUGAUCAAUAUCAGAAACUAUGUUUCUAAAUUGAUCGCUCCCAUUGACCAAGUCAUAUUCAAGAAAUUUAGCAUUUCUUGAUUCCACAAUCCUAGUGCUGUGAGAUGGACAGUAAAACCUAUACCCCUUGGACUUUUCAGCAUAUCCAAUGAAAUACCCACUAAUAGUCCUUGGGUUCAGUUUCUUCUCUUGUGGAUUAUAAAUUCUCACUUCAGACGAGCAUCCCCAAACGCGCAUAUGUCGCAAACUCGGUUUCCAACCUUUCAAUAACUCAAAUGGCGUUUUUAAGACAACCUUGGUUGGAACUCGGUUUAAUAUAUACACAGCUGUCUUAAGUGCUUCAAUCUACAAGAAUUUAGGAAGUUUUGAGCUGCUAAGCAUACUCCUCACCAUGUCCAAUAAAGUUCGGUUUCUUUUUUCUGCUACACCAUUUUGGUCUGGAGAACCAGGCAUGGUGUAUUGGGCAACAAUCCCAUGCUCUUGAAGAAACUUCGCAAAUGGCCCAGGUGAUUGUCCAUCUUCCAAGUAUCUAUCAUAAUAUUCUCCACCUCUAUCUGAUCUCACGAUCUUAAUUUGUUUACCAUAUUGUUUCUCUACUUCUGCCUUGAAGACUUUAAAGGCAUCUAAAGCUUCAUUUUUAUUAUGAAGUAUGUAGAGAUACAUGUAUCGUGAGAAAUCAUCUAUGAAAGAGAUGAAGUAUUUCUGACCAUGAGAGUCCAUGUCAAGACUACAUAUAUCAGUAUGUAUGAUCUCUAGUGUGGUAGAACUCCUAGUAGCACCUCUCUUUGACUUGUUGGUCUGCUUUCCCUUAAUGCAGUCCACACAAGUCUCAAAGUCAGUAAAAUCUAGAGUACUAAGUACCCCAUCAUUCACCAAUCUUUUGAUUCUAUCUAUGGAGAUAUGACCUAAUCUCCGGUGCCACAAUGUAGAGGAAUCCUCUUUUACAACACAUCUCUUAAUACCAGUUUGGACAUGUAAUGAAUUAUGAGCGGUAUCAUUUUGUAAGAAUAUACAAUAAAGACCAUCAGACAAGAUACCAUUCCCAACACAUUCAGAUUUAUAAAUCAAACUGAAAGAUGUUUCUGAAAAAUGAAAGAAAUAUCCAAACGGUACAAGUCUAGAAACUGAAAUCAGGUUUCGUGAGAAACUUGGUACAUAAAAGGUCCUUUGCAAUUCCAAAAUAAAACCACCAUAUAAAGUUAAAUAACAUAUCCCUAUUGCUUCCACAUGCGAGCCCAUCUUGUUUCCGGAUAAGAUGAAUUGUUCACUUGUCACUGGCUUCCUUAGGUUUUGCAUACCCUACAAGGAAUUUGAAAUGUGGAUUGUAGAUCCAGAAUCAAUCCACCAUGUGUUGGUGUUUACAUUAACCAUAUUAGAUUCAUAACAAACAAAUGAGGUAGGGUUACCUUUAUUCUCAAGCCAAUUCUGAAAUUUCAGACAUUUCUUCUUCACGUGUCUUUUCUUUUUACAGAAAAAACACUUUUCGUCUUUCUUAAUGUCAGAUUUAGGAGAAAUUUGUUGCUUCCCUUUCUGACUGGCUUGAGAUUUUCCUUUCUUUCCUUUCCUUUGCGUCACCAGCAUGGCACUUUCUCCUUAUUCCAUCAUUAACCUUCCUUCCUCUUGAACACACAUGGUCAUCAAUUCAUUGAUAGACCACUUAUCCUUAUGUGUGUUGUAAGAGAUUUUGAAAGGUCCAUACUGAGGUGGAAGAGUGUUAAGGAUAAAGUGCACCAAGAAGGAUUCAGACAUUUCUACAUUGAGUUUCUUUAAUUGAGCCACAAUGUCCCUCAUGUCCAUGAUAUGUUCACGCACACCUCUUAUAGCGGUGAGCUUCAAGGAUGUGAACUUCAUAAUUAGGGUGCUUGUCAAGGCUUUAUCUGAAGUGACGAAUUGCUCGUCAAUAGCCUUUAGCAAUUCACGAACAUUUUCAUGUUGCUCGAUUGAACCACGUAUACCAACACUGAUUUUUGUCUUAAUGUACAUCACGCUAAGGCGAUUAGAUUUCUCCCAGCGUUCAUACAAUAAAAUUUGUUCAGGUGUGCUGGUAUCAGUGAUCUUAUGCGGUUCAUCUUUCCUUAUAGCAUAAUCUAUGUCCAUGCACCCUAAUUGAAGAAGAAUUCUCUCAUUCCAUAUCUUAAAGUUAUCUCCUCUAAGUUCGGGAACCUCACAACGAAUAUCAAAUAUGCUAGGUAAAACUGCACAAAAGGAUUACAAGCUUAUUAAAAAUUUGAGGCUUUAAUAUAAAUUCAUGCUUUACCAAUGUAGAACAUACUUAAAAUUGAAUCUAAUUUUAUUAAAAAUUGUCUGUGGGCUAAAUCUUUAAUUCAAUCAGAUUAAUUAUCUUUAUGAUAUACUUUAUCAAACUAUUUUAUUGAAUUAUGAAAUUUAUUAUGAAUAUAGUUUGAUAUUUUCUGUCUAUAAUCUUUAUGAUAAACCUAUUAAAUUAAUUAUUCCUAACUCCUGUGGGUAAAUUAGGAAAAAUUAAUUUUAAUAUUUUAUCCUAAUUAAUUAUAUAAAUAUAAUGAAAACCCUGUGGGGUAAAAUCGUCAUAUUCAUAUAAUUAAUUACAAUUAAUGUCCAUAAUGUGAUCCAGAUUUACUUAAUAUAUAAUUUUUAUAUAAUUAAGGUUGCUGUGGCUAUUCCUUAAUUAUUAAAAAAUUAUAUUGUUCACUAGACAUUAAGAUUAUAGGAUAUAUAUAUUUUAAUAUAUCUUAUACAAUUUAGAUAAAAUUUGCAUGCAUCAAUAGCUACAACAUUUAAUUUAUCUAACACAAGAUUAAGCUACAUUUUAUACAUACAAACAAUAAAAUUAAUGAUUUAAUAUGCAUGUAUAAAGGAUCACAUAUAAUUUAGAAUUAACUUGAAAGGAUUUCAUAAUAUGAAAGGGUGCCUAAAUUCAUAUAAAAAAACAAUUAAUUCAAAUCCAAUAAAAUAAUUCAAACCGGGCCAUUAGAACCUAAACCGACCCAAAUAUCAUAUUUAACCCAUGGCCCAAUACACAAAGACCUUUAAUAAUUUUAUUGGGUCACUGCACAUGUAAUAAGCCUAAUGGGCCCAAAAGUAAAACCCAAUCUCUCUCUAGUUUUUUUUUUAUUUAUUUAUUAAUUUAUGGGUUCCAACAUUCAGCACGUUGGCAUCAUAACCACCCUUAGUCGCAUGCAGCCGCAUCAUCCGCGGCACCAAAACAACAUCGAACCGAUCUUUAAGCGACGCCGGCAGCGGCGCACCUUACAACCCAAAACAACACCUCAAAUGGCACUUCUAGAAAGGCUGAAAAUGGUGCCUGCAACGACGCUUGAAUAGCUCCUGAAUGACGCUUGCAGUGGUGCCUGAAUGGCACUCGAAACAGGCACCUGCAUCGGCGCUUGAAUAGCGCCUGAAUGGCGCUCAAAAUAAGCGCCUGAAUGGCGCUCGAAAUAGGCGCCUGCAGCAGCGCUUGAACAGCACCUGAAUGAGCUCAAAACGGGCACCUGUACCGGCGCUAAACAAUGCUUGAAUGGCGAUUGUAGUGGUGCUUGAAUGUCGUUCCCAACAGACUAUGACGCCAAAACGACAUCUCUGUCAUCCUCUGACGAGCACGGGAGGUGGAUGCAGCUGUGUGAAACCAGCCACACGUAGGCUCCUCCACUCUAGGAGCCACGCCACCCAGGCCUUCGCCCGGAUGUCGAGACUCAUCUCCUAACUUGGAAUGGGCAGGCCAACAUUUAUCCACAUUAAGCCUUACCCGCACAAACCAUCCACCCACCUUGACACCCCAACCAGAAGUUUCCAGAUUUAUUUGUUCUUAUUUCCAGAAAAAAAAAAAAAAAAAAACAAUUAUACAAGCUACUAAUACCAAGGCAAAGGUAAGAUUGCAUAGCUCUGAUACCAAAUGUUGGCAAUUCAUAAUGCAUAUAAACAAUUCAUUCAUAUGUAACUUAUGUCAUACUUACCUCCAGCCAUUGUUGGGUUGCAAGUCUUUGGUUUCCAAAACUCUUAUCUCUCCCUAUGGAUGGUGUAGUUUCUGAAGAUUUUCAGCAGCAUGAGAGAGAAGCUUGGGACCAAGACCGAUAUUUAAAAUACAAAGAAAACGUGGCUUCCCAUCAAAGCCACAUUUCUCUGAUUUGCCACACGAUGAGCAAUUGAAAGAAACGUGCUCCUUAACAGCAGCUACAUGAUGAAGGAUGUGGCCAAGUGUUGGACCACUUCAGGGCAGUGGAACGUGGGUGGUGAACGUCGGUUAUUUGAUAACAUGGGCUACAUGUGAACAAUGCUACAUACAUGAGCCAUGGGUGUGACCGAGAUCAUGCGACCCUCCAAAAUGUGGUGAAAGACUCUAAUUCUAGCAACAAUGAACUUAGUAAGGCGUACUUGGGCAUACGAGUACAAGACAUCUGGGUUGGUUGGCUAAAACACACAGGUUCAAGGAAGGGAAACAUGCAGAGACACGAGGUUUGUUGGUUUAGGCACAAGACAAAGUCUAGCGAGUAACAUCCGGGAGAUAUAGCCACUCCUAAUCUAUGAAUAUAGGGUUGCGUCUAGGAACAACAAUGGGGUGAGUUUUUUAAGUACCCGCCUUUAAUGAGAUAAGUUUAAAAUUUAAGGGCUUAAGAUUUUUUUUUAAAAUCCAAGACGGGUUCAAGGUGAGUUCGUCUCACCCCAUCCAGCCCCACCUUAAUCAUAUAUAAAAUUAAUUUAAUUUAAUUUUAAUUUUUUAUUUUAAUAUAUAUAAUAAUAAUGGUAAUAAAAUGUUUUUCAAUAAAAUAAGUUAUACAAAACUAUAAUAUUUUAAUUAUUUAUUUUUAAAAAAAGUUAAACAGGAUGAGAUAAGGUGAGUAUGGAAAAUUUGUAUACUCGUCCCGUCCCACCCCACUCCAUUUAUUUAUUUUUAAUGGGACAAAUAUGUGAAUUAUUUUGAAUAAAUGAGACGGGUGGGUUGGGAUGAAAGCGAUCCGUCCCGAACCCGCCCUAUUGCUAUCCCUAGUUGUGUUGUAGAAAUGCAUAAAUACAUCAUCUGAAACAAGGACAAAGUGUUUGGGACACCUGAUAGCACCUCAAGAGAAGUUGCAAGCCUUAAGAAACUACUAAGAUAGGUGAAAGAGCUUGGGUUGGAUCUCUAAUACAUGGGUAGUUAUUGAGAUUUUUUGGCUGCCUAUUAAUACCAUGUUGUACAGGUAAAAGAUAAAAUGUUUCCAUGGACUUAAAACUCGUUUUAUAGUAAUUCUAAGAAGCGAUUGUAAUAUUUAUAGUACUUAAAUUUUUUUAUUUUUCAAGUGUUAGAAGAGAUAAAAAAAUACUUUAUAAAAUCACUAUCAAACAGACACUUAGAGUUCGUUUAACAAUUAUUCUAAAAAAUGUUUAUAAUUUAAAAAGUAUUUUUUUAAAAAUAAUAAUAAUAAUAAAGUGUUUAACAAAAUUUAGGAAACAUUUUUAGAAAUCUGAAAAAUCACUUUGUAGUAUUGAAAAAUUAGUUGUAGUGUUAUUUAGAUAAAUACGUGAUGAAUUAUUCUUUUACAAACACUUUCAAAGAAAACAUUUGUACUAAAAACAAUUCAAGUAGAAACACUGCCAACUAAGAAGCUUUGAUUUUUUUUGUGUUGGGCACGGAAUUAUACAAGUUGAGCUGCUUGUAUACUUCGUGUGUCGGUUGCUUCGGUGUGGGCUUGCUAGGUCGAUCUUCACAACAUCACACAAAAAAAGAAUCUUGUGACAGCUAGCACUAUGAUGCUUAGGAUAGUAAGCAUCAUAAGAGAGUUGCCCUGCCAUCACCAGAAUUCACCCUUUUUCCUUUUCUACAUAAAAACCUUUGCAUCUUAAAAGAUUACAUCUAUAGAUCACACCCACACAUGUUCAUUCCACACCAACGUUCAUUGUAUUAAUUACAAAAACAAAGUUUCAAACUCCUCCCACUUGGAUCAUUUCAUAAAUCUGUAGCUAGGCUUCUCAGUCGUUUUUUUAUGCCCAAAUUUGUAAGUUUUGCUAGGACUGCAGUUGAAGUUACUGUCACCCCCAAAGCCAUACUUGGUGCGGUACCCUGGGUAGUCCCUAAAAUUGAAGGGCACUUCUUCUAUAAGUCUUAGCCCAACUCUUGAGGCUAGAAAUUCCAAAUUCCACUCAUAAAAGAAGCCAUUGCUUUUGUGAGUAAUGUGGAUUUCUCCAUCUAUGUGAAUCAACUUCUUCGCAUUUUCUAAAAACUGUUGUACCAGCAUCCGAUGUCGCCUGCAAGAAUUAAC